CACCCACGCCACCGACGCCGGUUGCUGCCGGAGCCGUUAGAGGGAGGAGACAAACGAACCGAGGCGGGAGCGGCCACGGGUGACAGCGGCAGCGGCGGGGCCGGGCUGCGCUCCCGAAGGCGUUCCUGGAGGGCCCUGGGAUGGACUCAGAGAUCCCCAGAGCCCCAGGGGACGGAAAAUCUAGCCCCGGGCACUUGCCUUGGAGUCUGAGUGAUGCGCGUCGUUGGAGCGCGAAGCCGGUCUCCCUAGCCUCCGCCCGACACAGCGUCUCCAGGGGUUUUCCUCCUUUUCGCGCCUCUCCUUCCCUCUUCCCCACACCAUUUGAGAGCCUCAAAUGGUAGUCCUGCCGCCACCUCUCUCCCUUCGCCAGCCUGCCAUCGUCCCCAUGGGUGCAGAUAUGCGCUCCCGAAGCCGCCUGCCUGCCGCGUCUGCCUCGGGCAUCAGCCCACGAGUGGGGAGUCGGCUCAGCUUGCCACGAGGGAACCUCGGGUUAGGACCAAUCGCCCGGGAGAGAGCCCUCCUCGCCCCCGCACCUCCUGCUCCAAGUCUCCUGUCCUGGUUAUCCCAAGUUCAGGGCCCACCUGGGGUCACAUGGGGAACUACUUGUCUUAAGGCUGUAAACAAUAGUUGGAAGAGGAGUUGCUAGCUUUUGAGAACUUCCAUGAUCAUCCAAAGUCUGAAACAAAGUAGGCGGUCAGCCUUUCAAAAUACGUGUUGGAAGAAACAGACACCUUCCCAUCCCCAGCGUUUGUUCAGUGCCUUGGUUGGGCUUUGAUUCUCACUGCUUUGUGAAGUACAGCUUAUUUUUACCCCCAAGAUUAUGAUUUUCAGGCUGUAGUUAUUAUUGGACAACUGAGAGGUGAUUUUGUUGUUGUUGAAAUGAGGGAAAACGGGCCAUUAGAAAGGACCGUGUCUCUUAAGAGGAGGGAAAAAAAGGACAGCGAGUUGGUAAUGGAAUGUUGCUGGAUGGAUUACAUAGAUGAGACAUGGGAGAUAGAAUAGAGAAUCCAGAAAUUCUCAUGUAUGUGUGCGUGUUUAGUAUAAUAACAGUAGCUCACAUUUGCUGAGCAUUUGUGUGGCAAGUACUGGAGUACUUUUUCAGGUUAUCUUAUUUAACUCUAACAUUUCUGUAAGGUAGGUGCAAUUGUUAUCUCCAUUUCACAGAGUUGCCCAAAACCAUUACUUUUAAACGCUGGAGCCAGACAACUCCAGAAAUCUCUGUGGUAGCCAGUAAACUAUACAUGACAAAUUAUUGGUCAGUAGGAAAAAGAUCAUUCGGGAAAUGGCGGUGGCUCACGCCUGUAAUCCCAGCACGCUGGGAGGCCAAGGCAGGUGGAUCACCUGAGGUCAGGAGUUCGAGACGACCCUGGCCAACAUGGUGAAAUCCCAUCUAUUAAAAAUACAAAAAGCCAAGAAAAACAAAUAUUCAAUUAACAAACGGAAAGUUGUCCCACUUCCAAACAGUUGUUUUUUGUCUAUCAUUGUUGAUAGGGGUGUGGGAUACAAUUACUGUCAGGCAUUUUUGGUGUGAAGGUGAAAUUGGUACAACCCUAUUUACCAAAAUUUAACAUAUGCAUUAGCCUUUGCCCCACAGCUGUCUCAUUUCCGAGGCAUAUACCCUAAGGAAAAUAAGGGAUUCAUAAGGAUACUAUUUGCCACCUUUUUUAAAAAUAAUGCUUCUAGAAACAAGUGUCCAUCACUAGGACACUAGUUAAGAAAAUUAUGAUUGGUACAUGCAAUGGAAUACUCUUGACCCAUUAAAAACUGAUGGAAAGUUCUUUAUUUGCAUUAAAGUAUGUCCAAAAAAUAUAGUUUCCCCUCAGGAAAAAAAAAGCAGAAUGUAGUUUAGCAAGUACAGUGCUGUCCUAAUGUGAAUAUAUGUGUGUACAUAUGUUAAUAUAAGUGUACAAAAAUAUCUGGAAGAAGGUCAGUCAAAAUACAAGUGUUUUACAUUUUGUCUUUUGGACUUUUUAUCUGGUUGGUGUUUUUUGUAAUUUAUUAUUUUACAAAAACAAAGUUGUGUUUUAUGUUUUAAUUAAAGCUGUGCCAGUGAAAAGGGAGCCAGUUGACUCUUGACCUUCACAAGUAGGUAACCAUGAUGAAGUAACUAUGUCUGGGGAUCUGAGUCUCAGCUUUUUUGUGUCUAUAAAUUUGAUUAUAUUCAUUUACCUAUAGUUGGACAAGCUAACCUACCACCUGGACAUCAUAGUUUUGACUCCCCAAAUUGGACUGGGUAUCCAUUCUAUGUGUUCUCUGUGUGCCUGUCAUGGUAUUUGUCACACUGUACUGUAAUUCCCUCUGUGCCAGUAGAUUGUUUGCUCCUGCCAUACAUAUACACAUGCACAUACAUACUUUUUCUGCUAUAUGUUACACAUUUCUUUUGAUUUAUUAUUUGUCAUCUACAUUUGUAUACAGAAGUUUUAAUUUUCAUUAGCCAAAAUGCUAAUGAAAUCACAUAGAUAUUAAAGGGAUACUUGGAACAACUUUAUGCCAAUAAAUUCAGUAACUUAAGCAAAAUGGACAAAUUCCUAAAAAAAUAAAUAAAUAAAUUACCAAAAAUGACACAAAA
rnacentral:lncRNA from 1 species